GCGGGGAUAGCUUAGUUGGGAGAGUGUCGAUCGAAGAUCCGAAGGUCACGUGUUGGAUUCAUGUUCACCGCA